rnacentral:rRNA from 1 species
ACGGGUGAGUAACACGUAGGCAACCUGCCUGUAAGACUGGGAUAACUACCGGAAACGGUAGCUAAUACCGGAUAGCUGGUUUUCUCGCAUGAGAGAAUCAUGAAAGACGGAGCAAUCUGUCACUUAUGGAUGGGCCUGCGGCGCAUUAGCUAGUUGGUGAGGUAAUGGCUCACCAAGGCGACGAUGCGUAGCCGACCUGAGAGGGUGAACGGCCACACUGGGACUGAGACACGGCCCAGACUCCUACGGGAGGCAGCAGUAGGGAAUCUUCCGCAAUGGACGAAAGUCUGACGGAGCAACGCCGCGUGAGUGAUGAAGGUUUUCGGAUCGUAAAGCUCUGUUGCCAGGGAAGAACGUCUUAGAGAGUAACUGCUCUAAGAGUGACGAUACCUGAGAAGAAAGCCCCGGCUAACUACGUGCCAGCAGCCGCGGUAAUACGUAGGGGGCAAGCGUUGUCCGGAAUUAUUGGGCGUAAAGCGCGCGCAGGCGGCUAUGUAAGUCUGGUGUAUAACCUCGGGGCUCAACCCCGGGUCGCACUGGAAACUGUGUAGCUUGAGUACAGAAGAGGAGAGUGGAAUU